GCGUCGACGGGUAGCCGGCCUGAGAGGGCGACCGGCCACACUGGGAUUGAGACACGGCCCAGACUCAUACGGGAGGCAGCAGUGGGGAAUAUUGCGCAAUGGGCGGAAGCCUGACGCAGCGACGCCGCGUGGGGGAUGACGGCCUUCGGGUUGUAAACCUCUUUCAGCAGGGACGAAGCGGAAGUGACGGUACCUGCAGAAGA
rnacentral:rRNA from 1 species